UUGGCCGGGCCCCGCCGGAUCCCAGCCCGGGCAGCCUUCGGGGGGACACCGCGGCGCUGCGCUGACCAGGCGAGGGGGGCGGCAGGGGACGGACUAGGUGAAAUUAGCUGUACAAAAUCGGUAUUUUAAAACUAUUGAGCAGGAAACAAAAUGAAGAUCAGCAGCAGGUGGCAGUGCUAGCAAGAUCUCUAUUUUUGAUGUGUGUUAUCAGCCACGGUUUUGGAUAGUGUCAGCUAUUCAGCAAAAAUAGUCCUGUCACUUCACGGAUAUUGCUGCACUGAAGACACUGUACUGUGGAGUUCAUCAACAGGCCACCAAAAAAAAAACCAAACAAAAACCAACCAACCAACCAAACGAAAAAAAAAACAAAACAGAAGUUGAUAAUUUUGUGAAAGCAAACUAUUUAUAUGAACAGAAUUUGGGCAUGCAGGACAUUUUUCAUGGCUGUUUCUCAAGCUGUACCCAUUCUGUACUGUUUGUCUGGAUGAUCCAUCUCCGUGAUUUUCUACAGCACAUCUUAUAAAGGCUAGAAUUCAACUUUGAAAGCAAACACUUAUUUACUUACUUUUCAGAGGUGCUAGAAGGUAACUUUUCUUAAUGUUUUGACUUUAAUAAACUGCAUGCUUCUUGUUCUCAUGAGUUUUGCCUUCUUUUUCAGUAAAAAUACAAGUAAGAUUUCAGCAUUAGGUAUCAGACAUCCCUUUGUACCUUUGAAACUAAAUUAUAAAAAGAGAACAAAACCAGUUUCGGGGAUGCUGUAUCACAGAGCUGUUAAGAAAUUCUUUUUCACUAGAGAACUGUGAUCGUGAAGCAACAGUUUUGCUUUCCGAGGUAGUUUAAAACCAGAGUUUACAUGAAUCUAGCUUUUUAGUGAGUGGGAUACAGUAUUGGAUUGUAUUAUUAUGUACACAGAAAAUGAAGCACACUUCAUUCUAGAUAAAUAAUGAAAAUUAGCAGAAAGAAAUAAAAAUUUAGAAUUAAGAUAUAUAUUCAAAGCUAAACAUGUGCGUCUGCUUCUGCUAGACAGAGAAAUAUAUUCUUUUGUCAGCUAUCCAACCAAUGAUUUUCUAAUUAUUUGUAGUCUUGUGAAUGGCUGAGUUUAUGGUUCAGAAUGUCCUAAGUUAAAACAACAACAACAAAAACCACAUAUGUCUUACAGGACACUUGUCUCAAGUAAUGAUUGCAAUAAACUCUUUCCAACUUUAAAGUAUAUAGAACGGAAUUCCAAUGAAGAGUUAAUAAUUUCUUGUAUCAUCUUAAAGGGUAAUGUCAACAUUAUAAUUAAUUCAGUAAGAUAAUAUUUGUAAUAAACUUUUGUGGCAAACAGUAAAAUAUAAGGUCAAUUCUCUUAUAUGGAAAAUUUGUACUUUAGCGUUUUCUUUGGGUUAGGAGAUGUCAGGAAUAGGUGGUAAAUUGUAUAUUCCCAUUAUUGAUUUUACAUAUGUAGUGUGCUGUAUAGUACCUAAUUCUUCUCUCUCUCAUGUAUUUGAUGGAAAUGAGGCUCUUUACUGUUCUUACCAUGAACAUAAACUUCCUGACAUAAAAUUCAGAGAAACUGCUAGUUUACAGUUCCAAUCCACUUUGCUGUUUGUAAAGAGUUCAAGUUGAAAUGGAUAUACUUCUCAAGACAGAAACUGU